AGUGAACUUCGUUUGCAGUGGAAAUCCUUUUGUGUUUCGUCUUUUCAGACGUGACACAAAAGAUUGCAACGGAUAGCGGGAUUAGCU
rnacentral:sRNA from 1 species